rnacentral:misc_RNA from 1 species
GUGGACUACAGGGGUAUCUAAUCCUGUUUGAUCCCCACGCUUUCGUGCCUCAGCGUCAUUAACACCUUAGUAAGCUGCCUUCGCAAUUGGUGUUCUGUGACAUAUCUAUGCAUUUCACCGCUACUUGUCACAUUCCGCCUACCUCAAGUGUAAUCAAGCCUGUCAGUAUCAAGGGCAAGCUUCCGGUUGAGCCGAAAGAUUUCACCACUGACUUAACAGGCCGCCUACGCACCCUUUAAACCCAAUAAAUCCGGAUAACGCUUGGAUCCUCCGUAUUACCGCGGCUGCUGGCAC